rnacentral:tRNA from 1 species
GGGGUUGUGGCUCAGUGGUAGAGAGCUCGCUUCGCACAUGCGAGACUCUGGGUUUGAUCCUCAGCACCACA